AUACGUAGGGGGCGAGCGUUGUCCGGAAUGAUUGGGCGUAAAGGGCGCGUAGGCGGCCCUGUAAGUCUGGAGUGAAAGUCCUGUUUUUAAGAUGGGAAUUGCUUUGGAUACUGUCGGGCUUGAGUGCAGGAGAGGUAAGUGGAAUUCCCAGUGUAGCGGUGAAAUGCGUAGAGAUUGGGAGGAACACCAGUGGCGAAGGCGACUUACUGGACUGUAACUGACGCUGAGGCGCGAAAGUGUGGGGAGCAAACAGGAUUAGAUACCCUGGUAGUCCACACUGUAAACGAUGAAUGCUAGGUGUAGGGGGUAUCGACCCCUUCUGUGCCGCAGUCAACACAAUAAGCAUUCCGCCUGGGGAGUACGGCCGCAAGGUUGAAACUCAAAGGAAUUGACGGGG
rnacentral:rRNA from 1 species